rnacentral:rRNA from 1 species
GACGAACGCUGGCGGCGUGCUUAACACAUGCAAGUCGAACGGUAAGGCCCUUCGGGGUACACGAGUGGCGAACGGGUGAGUAACACGUGGGUGAUCUGCCCUGCACUUCGGGAUAAGCCUGGGAAACUGGGUCUAAUACCGGAUAGGACUCCGGACUGCAUGGUCUGGGGUGGAAAGCUUUUGCGGUGUGGGAUGGGCCCGCGGCCUAUCAGCUUGUUGGUGGGGUGAUGGCCUACCAAGGCGACGACGGGUAGCCGGCCUGAGAGGGUGACCGGCCACACUGGGACGGAGAUACUGCCCAGACUCCUACGGGAGGCAGCAGUGGGGAAUAUUGCACAAUGGGCGCAAGCCUGAUGCAGCGACGCCGCGUGAGGGAUGACGGCCUUCGGGUUGUAAACCUCUUUCAGCAUCGACGAAGCGAAAGUGACGGUAGGUGCAGAAGAAGGACCGGCCAACUACGUGCCAGCAGCCGCGGUAA